AGGACGAACGCUGGCGGCGUGCCUAAGUACAUGCAAGUCGAACGGUCUUUCUAUGGAAGCUUGCUUCCACGUGAGAAGAUAGUGGCGAACGGGUGAGUAACACGUGGGUAACCUGCCCAUAAGAGGGGGAUAACAUCCGGAAACGGGUGCUAAUACCGCAUAGUUUUCUUGAUCGCAUGAUCGGGAAAGGAAAGACGGCCUUUGUGCUGUCGCUUAUGGAUGGACCCGCGGCGUAUUAGUUAGUUGGUGAGGUAACGGCUCACCAAGACGAUGAUACGUAGCCGACCUGAGAGGGUGAUCGGCCACAUUGGGACUGAGACACGGCCCAAACUCCUACGGGAGGCAGCAGUAGGGAAUCUUCCGCAAUGGACGAAAGUCUGACGGAGCAACGCCGCGUGAGUGAAGAAAAGGUUUUCGGAUCGUAAAACUCUGUUGUCAGAGAAGAACAAGUUGGAGAGUAACUGCUCCAGCCUUGACGGUAUCUGACCAGAAAGCCACGGCUAACUACGUGCCAGCCGCAGC
rnacentral:rRNA from 1 species